GAUGAACGCUGACAGAAUGCUUAACACAUGCAAGUCGACUCGAGUCUUCGGACUUGGGUGGCGCACGGGUGAGUAACGCGUAAAGAACUUGCCUCUUAGACCGGGACAACAUCUGGAAACGGAUGCUAAUACCGGAUAUUAUGGUUUUUUCGCAUGGAGGAAUCAUGAAAGCUAGAUGCGCUAAGAGAGAGCUUUGCGUCCCAUUAGCUGGUUGGUGAGGUAACGGCCCACCAAGGCAAUGAUGGGUAGCCGGCCUGAGAGGGUGAACGGCCACAAGGGGACUGAGACACGGCCCUUACUCCUACGGGAGGCAGCAGUGGGGAAUAUUGGACAAUGGACCACAAGUCUGAUCCAGCAAUUCUGUGUGCACGAUGACGUUUUUCGGAAUGUAAAGUGCUUUCAGUCGGGAAGAAGUCAGUGACGGUACCGACAGAAGAAGCGACGGCUAAAUACGUGCCAGCAGCCGCGGUAAUACGUGUGUCGCAAGCGUUAUCCGGAUUUAUUGGGCGUAAAGCGCGUCUAGGCGGCAAGGAAAGUCUGAUGUGAAAAUGCGGAGCUCAACUCCGUAUGGCGUUGGAAACUGCCUUACUAGAGUACUGGAGAGGUAGGCGGAACUACAAGUGUAGAGGUGAAAUUCGUAGAUAUUUGUAGGAAUGCCGAUGGGGAAGCCAGCCUACUGGACAGAUACUGACGCUAAGCGCGAAAGCGUGGGUAGCAAACAGG
rnacentral:rRNA from 1 species